UACUGGGAAAGAGGGUUUAUGUACUUUCCGCGUAUAUACAACGGUGUUAUGGUAUGUAUGCAGAGCAAAGACUGGCAGCGUCGUUGCUGAAUAGUUGGGAAUCGACUCGUGUAUUCCCUACUAAACCGGCUUCUGCUCCGCAAUCGCAAUCUGCCGACCGCGUACGAUGUGUGUUGGGUGUAAAAAAAUUGUACAACUAAACAUUAAAAAAUUAAAACAAGUUUUGUGAAGUUGGAAUUUGUUCCGAGCCAGAUAUGAAACACUAAUUUUAACUUCCAACCAUUCCUUUUUGAUAUUAUUUUAGGUUUGAUCUCGCAAUAAUAAAAGGCUUUCAGUUUUAGCCAUUGUCUCAGUAAAGUGACAAUUUAAGUCGAUAAUUCAGUUUACAUAAACGGUGUGUUCCAAGUGAUAGUUUUGUGAGUGCAUGUUUUCAACAGUUUUUCUUAUUCUCUGUUCAGCAGUUUCCGCAAGAACCAGCGGAACUACCAAAUCAUUUAAGUAGUGUGCUUGGAUGCGACUUCAUAUGUAAAAGUUUGGUGCUUCAGAAAAAAUAACAGACCCCUAAAGAUAAGGCUUACCCUUAUUGUCUAGUGCUGGAUAGUAAUUAAUGUUGAAAACAGAUAAAUGUAAUAUGAUUUCCACUAAAAUAACGGCGGAAAACUUUACGGGACUCCGAAUAAUUCGGAUCCGACCACCGGUUCAGGAAAAAUAUGGAGUAGUAAAUGUUUCCUUUCCGGACUCCAGUUCGCGAAAUACCGGAAGUAGUAGUUAAUCAUUCUAAAAUAGUAGCUGCAUCCAUUUCUCAUAUUAACGAUAAAGAGAAUGGCAUCAUUACACCACUAGAUGGAUUAAAACAGUUUUUUUUAUUGCGUCGUUGUUUCCGGCCAAGGGAUCUGUCACGUAUAUGGUUAGACUAUAUUUCAUGAAUUGUAUGUAUAAAAAAAACUCUGUUCCAUAUGCAAUAUCAGUCCCAUUCAGUGCAAAAUUCAUUAAUGUAUAGUUUAAAUAUUUGUGAUAUAUUACGGUGGUUUUGUAGCACAAGGAAUUCUGAAAUGGAAUUUAGAUCGCCUUUUUCCAUCCUGUCGAUGUUAUGUUAUAUCUCUUUAUUUAGACUCGGCUUUAACUGAUAAGAAUCAUUCACAGGGGAAAGCGUAACUUUUGUUCCAUCAGUGUUGAAUCGAGUUUAAAGUAUAACAGUUUUUUUUAGAAUUAUCAAUUCGUGUAUAAUCGAAACUUAAUUAGAUCUUCGUGCUAUGUUCGUAAAAAUUCUUUUUUUAAAUGGUUUUCAUUCCGUAAUUAUUGCUUUAGUAGUAAGGAAGUAUUUCUGAAAAACGGAUUUUUGUGAAAAUUCCAUGAGUUAUUUUAAUUGUUUAUGAAGAAGGAUAGGUCUAAAAGAUUGUCUAAAUUAGGUGAUGAUCAUAUGCUAUUAAGUGUUGUUUGUUUUGUGUGCAACACAUUUUCUGCAAGAAUAUUCAUAACAGCCAGAACCAUCUUUUGAAAACGGACCGAACUAAUUUGUAUUCCCAAUAGUUAGUAAGUUAGUAUAUAAGUUCCUUUCCCCCAUUACAAAUCACAAGUAGGUUUACAAUUUUCCUUACAAAAAAUCAUAGAAUUGCAGAAGCAAAUGAUGUCUUAAUGGUAAUAACCAAAUCAUGUAUAUUUUUGUCUUGACAUUAUAUUCCUUUUGUGGAAAAUAGCUUUUCUGUUUCAAGAGAAUCAUUGCAUGGCCUAGUGUUACGAUCCUACUGACACUGAGAAUCCCUCCAGGACUCGAACAUACGACAACUGGCUUAUAAGACCAUCGCACUAUACAUUGAACCACCAACCCGAGUUACAUCAUGUAUAUACUAGGGCUGAAUAGUAACCACUUGUGACUGAACGCUCAACAUAAAUCUUAAAAAUUCAUAUUGCAAUUAACAAUACAUUGAACAAAAUAAUGGUUCACAAUGUUUACCUCAAUAAAUAUCGUUAAAGGCUUUAUGUUCAAGGUUUACUUGUCAUUUUACCUGAUUUCUUUGCAUAAUGAGAUCAAUUGUAUCAUCAUUUCGAUUAUAAAACACGAAGUAUCACUGCUGUUCUUUAUUGUACAGCUUGUUGUGCACCAACAUUGAUUUAUUCUGGAGAUUUGAAUCUGUGCCUGCUAGUUCACUCUUUUUAACUUGAAGUAGUUCACUCUUUUAAGAGGCCAAAUAGACUGUGUACAGCAUCCUAUUUCAUGACAUUUUGCCUUGUAUCUAUUUGAGCCCAGUUCUAAUAUGACACGUAUGGCAGGAAGAUGGCAGUAUUUUCGAAUCCAAAACAAUUUUAUAUUUAUAUUUAUUUAAAUUGCUCAUAGCAAUAAUUGCUGGAAGAACAUAAUUUCCUACAGUUAUAUACCAUCGAAAUCAGUUCGUCGAUAUCAGCAAAUGUGUGUGUGACAAACAGUUUUACUCAAUUUUUUCGAAAAUGGCUUAACCAUUUUCUACAAACCAAGAUUCAUAUGAAGUCCUAUGUACCGAUACAUUAUUCUUGAAUUUUAUUUAGAUUCGACUAUUGGUUCCGGAACUACAGAAUGUUUCCUGUGUAAUUUCAACAUCUAGCGAUAUCACCGUAACAUCAGCUGAAAAUACAGUUCUAAUUUCUUUGUUUGUCAACACAAUUUUGAACUUUUGACAUUUUAUGUUACUAUAUUUAGUAUAUACUAUUUUGUUUGGCUCAAGGCCAGGAAAACGCCCGGGUUAUAAUGGGUUGAUAGGCAUUUUCCCAUACAAAAUUGGUGAAUUUCAUCCGAUUCCUCCCAUUUCAACCAGAAUAUUAGUUGAUUUCCUGAAUUCGAUUGGUUAAAAUUUGGUACAACUAAUCGAUUGUUGUUUUAACUAAACUGUCAUUUUUGUUUUUCGAUUAGCAUAAACGAUGGUUGAAACAACUGUUGAAAAAAAAGGCUGUCAAUUAGCGAGGACACAUACCUUUAAAUUUUUAAUUAUAGUUGAAAAAACUGGUGUUGUUAUUGAAACAAAAUUCUGUUAGUUGAAUAAUAAAUCGGUUUUAUUUGUUUCAGACUUUGCAAAUAGUCGAAUCAACUCGAACAAUGUUAUUGAUUUGCGAAAAUAAUCAAAAUAUACUUACUGAUACACGUCAUGAUCUAUUUGAAAUAAGUUCGGUAUGUUGAGAUUCAUGAAAUAAAUAUCUUUGUUAAAAUAUAAACAGUAUUUUAUAUUGACAUGUAAUAUCAUUAGGGCUGGGAAAACCACCGAUCACUGCUGAUUUCAAGUGAUCUUAACCAAGGAAUAAAUUAUCAUUACGAAAUCAGAACUGAUCUGAUCUCUAAGUGAUUUUGAUUUUUGUAUGAUCAUGAUCAUGUCAAGUCGAGAUCAGUAAAGAUCUAAAUUCUAAAAAAAUACUUCUGAUUCGAUCGGAAAUGAUUGAUGUAGAAAAACGUUUUUAAUCAGCAAAAGUGCCCGGAGGGGCGAAUAAAUUAGCGAAAUUAUUAAAUUUACAUAAAAUGAGUAUUGAAAGAUGAUGCCUUCAAAAGGUUAAACUAAAGUUAUGCACUGAUAAUUUUAGUCAAUUUAUAUGAGCUUGGGUGCAUCAACCGCUGGUAAUUGGAAUUUGGCGACGGCUAUUCAAACGCGCCACUCAAUCGCAGCGCGUUCUGUGUGUUUGAAACCCUUCGCUCCUGUUACUUUUAUAAAUUAAAUUCAUGUCAAAAAGCGUUUUAUUGCUAAUGCAUGAACAUCAUCAUCGGUAUCAAACAGUUGGAAGUAAAACAGUCUGCUGGAAGUAAAUCAAUGAUCGAAUUUGAAGCAUACAAUUUUUGCGCAUACCUGAAAGAUUACGAGAUGAUCAUUCAUUAACCUUUUUUUAAUUUGUCACCAAAUCUUUUUCAUCUUAAACAAGGUUAAAUUUAUCACAACACCGCUGUUAGAUACACACUUGUUAUCAUAAAUUUCUCAAAUCGAAUGAACACAAUUUCACCAAACGCUUUAACCAUCGAUGUUGUUUUCAUUGACAUUUUGAAGCGACGCGAACAGAUUUCAACUAAAAAAGUUGUUAAUUUUACAUUGCGAUUAUUGUUUUGCUUUCAACUGUUUCUGGCAUUUGACAGCAUUCAAAACAACAUAUUUUUCAACUACUUGAAUAUAUGCAAAUCAAAAACCAUAUUGGUUGAAUCAAAAAGAAAUUAGUUAAAUCAACUAUCGCAAAAAUAAAAAACUGCGAUAUCGCAAUUUUAUGAUCGAAGGGUUCUCCGUGUAAUACCGGUUCUGGAAACACCAUAAAUAAUUACCAAAAACUCUAAAUUGGAAUUCACUCCGAAAUCUCAUCGAUUCAUAGGAAUAUUUUUUUCGGUUUUAUGAUUUCUUUUUUCCAUUUGACCCGCAGUUUAGAAAUUACAGGAAUUGGUGAUUGAAUUUCAAACUGUCAUUCAAACGAUAGUCAUGACAUAUCCGGCAAAAUUUGUAAAUCGGUCGCAACGGUACACAAAUUUGUAUUAUUCAAUAUUUUUUAUUGUGGAGAAUAAGAAACACUUAAAUCUUCGCAUUUUGGGGCCUCCUGAAAAUGCCCUGGUCCGGGGGAUCCCCCUUUCGGCCUAGCCCGAAGAAAGGUUUAAUCUCACUGCUAGAUGGAUUAAAAACGGUUUUUUUUUAAAUUGAUAGUGUACAUUGUGUUCUAUUCAUGAGGCUAUUAUACAUCCGAUUAAUUGAGCAAAAAUAUAUCUCCGAACGGCGAGAUUUGUGUUCAAACAAAUAUGGCUUACAACACCGACUGCAAACAAACUGAAAUAUCUCAUUGAAACAUUUUUUAUGAAAAUCUAUUUAUCAAAGAUAAUUGUAUUAAUAGUCAUCUCAUUUAUUGAGCCAUCCCAUUAUU